CAAAUUUCUGCCCUAUCAACUUUCGAUGGUAGGAUAGUGGCCUACCAUGGUUUCAACGGGUAACGGGGAAUUAGGGUUCUAUUCCGGAGAGGGAGCCUGAGAAACGGCUUACCACAUCCAAGGAAGGCAGCAGGCGCGCAAAUUACCCAAUCCCGACUCGGGGAGGUAGUGACAAUAAAUACUGAUACAGGGCUCUUUUGGGUCUUGUAAUUGGAAUGAGUACAAUUUAAAUCCCUUAACGAGGAACAAUUGGAGGGCAAGUCUGGUGCCAGCAGCCGCGGUAAUUCCAGCUCCAAUAGCGUAUAUUCAAAGUUGUUGCAGUUAAAAAGCUCGUAGUUGAACCUUGGGCCUGGCUGGCCGGUCCGCCUCACCGCGUGCACUGGUCCGGCCGGGCCUUUCCUUCUGGGGAGCCGAUGCCCUUCACUGGGUGUGUCGGGGAUCCAGGACUUUUACUUUGAAAAAAUUAGAGUGUUCAAGGCAGGCCUAUGCUCGAAUACAUUAGCAUGGAAUAAUAGAAUAGGACGUGUGGUUC
rnacentral:rRNA from 1 species